rnacentral:piRNA from 1 species
UACCUCUUCUUCUAUCUUCAC